CAGGGAGACAACAAAAUGUUUAAUAUUAUUAUUUUGUCACCUUAGGUCGAUCGGUAUCUCACGUUUUUAAUUUUUUAAGAAUUUCAUUUCCUAAGUUUUUCUAGGUCACACCCAUUAUUUUUCCUGGGCCAUUAGCUCAGGUGGUUAGAGCGCACCCCUGAUAAGGGUGAGGUCCCUGGUUCAAGUCCAGGAUGGCCCAUAUCUCUAUGUUGGGGGUAUAGCUCAGUUGGUAGAGCGCCUGCUUUGCAAGCAGGAUGUCAGCGGUUCGAGUCCGCUUACCUCCACUGAUUACCACCUCUUCCAUAACCGGUAGAAAGGAAAUUUUUUGAGUUGUGAUCAAAUUCUGAAAGAAUCUAGCUUCCUAAUGAAAUCAUUAAGAUGCUGGACUCAUUGAAUUAAUUUCAUUGUUUUCAGAGAACCUUGACAACUGCAUAGAUUAUUUUUAAAGACAAUAAGCAUCUUUAAUGAUGCAGAUUUAUUAUUUGUGCGAAUGCAUUAAUAACAAUUCUAUUAAGCUGAUGCUUCA
rnacentral:tRNA from 1 species